ACAGUAUGUUGUAGCAGGGUGGUGUGGUGACUGACAGACAGUAUGUUGUAGCAGGGUGGUGUGGUGACUGACAGACAGUAUGUUGUAGCAGGGUAGUGUGGUGACUGACAGCAGACAGACAGUAUGUUGUAGCAGGGUAGUGUGGUGACUGACAGACAGUAUGUUGUAGCAGGGUGGUGUGGUGACUGACAGACAGUAUGUUGUAGCAGGGUGAUGUGGUGACUGACAGACAGUAUGUUGUAGCAGGGUGGUGUGGUGACUGACAGACAGUAUGUUGUAGCAGGGUAGUGUGGUGACUGACAGCAGACAGACAGUAUGUUGUAGCAGGGUAGUGUGGUGACUGACAGACAGUAUGUUGUAGCAGGGUGGUGUGGUGACUGACAGACAGUAUGUUGUAGCAGGGUAGUGUGGUGACUGACAGACAGUAUGUUGUAGCAGGGUAGUGUGGUGACUGACAGCAGACAGACAGUAUGUUGUAGCAGGGUAGUGUGGUGACUGACAGCAGACAGACAGUAUGUUGUAGCAGGGUGGUGUGGUGACUGACAGCAGACAGACAGUAUGUUGUAGCAGGGUGGUGUGGUGACUGACAGCAGACAGACAGUAUGUUGUAGCAGGGUAGUGUGGUGACAGACAGACAGUAUGUUGUAGCAGGGUAGUGUGGUGACUGACAGCAGACAGACAGUAUGUUGUAGCAGGGUAGUGUGGUGACUGACAGCAGACAGACAGUAUGUUGUAGCAGGG
ensembl:lncRNA